rnacentral:lncRNA from 1 species
GCUUAUGUAAAAAGCCCUGGUGAAGUUAGAAGUUCCCAGUCUUUUUGGCCUAUAGUCCUCCUGCCACCUCCCAGCUGACAAACCAUCUUCCAUUUGCAACCUGAGACUGCAGCCCAAAAUUUUGGAAUCAUGGUGCUUCAUGUGCAGAGACACAGCAUCUCACUCAAAGACGUACAGUGAUAUCAGCAGAGCAGACAGUCGGCACUGCAACAUGCCUUCACUCCACUGGGAGAGAGUGUUGCUUGGAAUUGCCUGCUGUGCAGUGACUAUGACCCUCUGGUCCCUGUGCAUUUGGCAGCUUGUCGUCAGGUUUCACAAAGGCAGCCCAGAAUCUGAUGCAUUUGAAAG